CUCCCUUCUUCUCUCACACAGACACACCCUUCUGCCUCUCUCUCGAUCUCCCUACACUCCGGCAACUGGAGCCGAAGUCCGGCGAGCUCCGGUGACCCCCCUUCUUCACUCCGAUUAAGCACCACCAUCACCAUCACCCUCCUCCUCCCUCUUUCAAGCUCGCACCUGAACAAACCACCUCCACUGGUCUCUUCAGCCAGCGCCCGACACCACUGUUGGUGGCGGCGGCGGCGGCUUAACGACAGCGGCGGCAACAGGUUCCUCUCCCAACAAACCACUCCCACAGCUCGUCUUUCCCUCUCUUCCCGAUACACGACAGCGGCAAACCACGAAGACGUCGCCGGGAACCGCAAGCUUUUGUUUCGGUAUACUUUUUCCUUUCGUUCCAACCGUUCUAUUUGAUUUAUAUAUUUGCCGCUUUGAAUGUUAAAUAUAAACAUAAACAGUUAAUCGCUCUCGUUCAUUCUCUUGGAAUUCUCAAUCCUUACUUG
rnacentral:lncRNA from 1 species